AGAUAACUAGUGUCUUGCAAACAACAAAAUUAAACAGCACAUCAGACAGAGCUUUUGAUGACAUUGUUUCUGAAGUUAUAAACUUUAUCAAUGAUCUACCAGACACACCUAGAACCAGAGAAAAAGUAUGAACAAGGUUCAGAAAAAGAAUGUACAAUCAAAAAGGAUACGAAAAAAACAAUAUAUGCUGAUGAUACAAUAUUACUGGCAGAAUCAGCUGACGAUUUACAAAGAAUGUUAAACAAGUUUGAUGAAUACUGUACUAACUGGAAACUAAAUGAAAACAUUGAUAAGACAAAAGUAAUGGUGUUUGAGAAGGCGAAGCAUCAAAGAAAUCUGAGAUUUAUGUUAAGAGGCGAGGAGUUACAGCUCACGGACAGUUAUAAUUAUCUGGGAUUAUUAAUAAGUUACAAUUGUAAUUUUAAUCUACCAAAGAAAAAACUGGUUGAAAAGUCACAAAAAGCACUGUACGCAUUAUACUACAAGUUAAGAAAUGUAAACAUUCCUUCAGAUCUGCAGUUUCGACUAUUUGAUUGUAUGGUCUCUCCAAUUUUACUUUAUGGCUCGGAAAUAUGGGGUCAUGAGAAUGUUGAAAUGAUUGAAAAGGUGCACUUAAGUUUCCUGAAGAGGGUCUUGAAUGUAAGAUCAACAACACCAAAUUAUAUGGUCUAUGGGGAAACUGGCAGAUUUCCGUUAAUAAUUAAUAUUUAAACUAAAUUACUUUGUUUUUGGUCAAGGUUAGUGCAAAGCGGUAGUAGCAAAUUAUCCGGGAUUUUGUAUCAGUUCGUGUAUAACUUCCAUAAUUCAGGUCAAUACUCAUUUAAAUGGUUAUCUUCUCUGAAAAAAAUAUUAGAUGAUACAGGAUUUUCCUUUGUCUGGAAUGCACACGGUGUUAUCAAAAGUUCGGAUAUUAAAAAAGAAAUAAAACAGAGAUUAGUUGACCAAUUCGGACAGCGUCUAUUUGCUGAUAUGACAAACUCGUCAAGAGGUGUGUUUUAUGCGUCAUACAAAACUAUGUUUUGUUUAGAGCAAUAUUUACUCAAUCUUAAAGUGGCUGAUCGUUAUAUCUACAGUAGAUUUAGAUGUUCAAAUAUCAAAAUCCCUAUUGAAGUUGGUCGGUGGAAAAAUACACCACAAGAGGAUCGUAUAUGCUGUCACUGCGAUUCAAAUACAAUUGGUGACGAAUACCCUUAUUUUUUCACAUGUACCAAUGAACAAAUUAUGUCAUUAAGAGAAAGGUAUAUACCUACAUAUUACACAAAAAAUCCUUCCCAAUUAAAAUUCAUAGGUCCAUGUCACACUGUAAUGUGCCAGUUCUAACAAAACUGUGCACGUUUUUAAGACAUUUAGAAAAGAUAUUUUCAUAAUUUAUAUCAUGUUACAAUGUAGUAUUAAAAUAAAAUUUUAUUCACGUUGCAAUUCAAAAUAUUGCAAAAUAAUCAACCAAAUAUGGAAUAUUUCAAUUCUACUGUAUGAUAUCGCUAAUUUAUUUAUUGUGUGUCCUGCUUGCAAAUGUAUAAUUAUGUAAUUGUUAAUGUAUAAUUGUUAUCCUCUAUUAGCACCAUACGUGUGCCUAAGUUGUAAUAAAUUGUCUUGUCUUG